AGAAAGGCAACACAUCCUCUACUCAUUAGCUGUCGAGCCCUCGCCGAAGAUAUCCAAGUGGCAAACAGUGUACUCCUGCAGCCUCUAAAAGUAAACUCCUCCUGGCCUGGCUCGCGGAACGUCACUGUCCUCGCUCCACAAUGGAUAGUAGCAUAGUACUGCUCCAGCGAACCCAUACCGAGCACGACGUCGAAGUCCUGCAGCUGCCCUAACACGAACAGGUCUGCGGGCAUGAUCCACGAGUCUAACUGCACCGGACACUACCAACAAUACUCCGCAACCUGUAAAAUAUGGUUUGGGAUCUGCACCUCUCGUGCCUGAGACAAGGCUCCUAACUCUAGACCAUGCAAUAAUGCAAAUGCUCGGCUAAUAAACGAAUGAGA
rnacentral:lncRNA from 1 species